GUCCGUUCUCAAUUCAGCAUCAUGGACACUUAAAAUUGGAUCCAUCUAGAAAGAUUAACACGGCCCUUGCUUAAGGAUGACUUGUAAGUUCAUGAAACAUUCCGUGUGUAU